UACGGGGGGGCAAGCGUUGUUCGGAAUUACUGGGCGUAAAGGGCUCGUAGGCGGCCAACUAAGUCAGACGUGAAAUCCCUCGGCUUAACCGGGGAACUGCGUCUGAUACUGGAUGGCUUGAGUUCGGGAGAGGGAUGCGGAAUUCCAGGUGUAGCGGUGAAAUGCGUAGAUAUCGGAAGGAACACCUGUGGCGAAAGCGGCUCACUGGACCAUUACUGACGCUGAGGCACGAAAGCUAGGGGAGCAAACAGG
rnacentral:rRNA from 1 species